GUUUUUUUUUAAAAAAAAAUAAGCCCUUCUGAAAUUGGCUUUUUUUUCCCUUCUAGACUCUUUUAUCACUCUUGGAAAGUAGUCAUGUACUGUCUGAGAAACAUCUCUUGAUAUUAUGGCAGCGUUUUCAUGCUGCCCAUUUUUUCUCAUACCUUCUCAAAUUCUUGGUGAUGUUAAUGUAGAGCAUGGCCAAAUUAUAAAGGAAUAUCGUAUGUGCAUGAAGCAAGGAAGGAGGUUGAGCUGAAGUUACCUAGUAUUUUAUAAUGUAAUUCUUUUAUAAAUGUUUUAUUUCUUUAGAAAAGAGGUGAGAGAAUCUGUUUGUAACAUCUGAAUAGUGUUCUACUUUUAGUAUUGAAGUAUUUUUUUGCUGAGAUUAAUUAACAGAGGUGCCAUUUCAAUCCUUAUGGUUGGCAUGAGUUACUUAAGGAAGAGAUGAAGAGUGAUGUUGGAUGGAAAAAGGGUGGCAGGUGUGCAGGAUGCAGCUGUGAAGGCACCUUGGGGAAGUGGAGCUUCCUAGAGUCACGGUGGCACAGCUGGAGUCACCAGUCAUUUCCAGAUGGAGCUAAGAGGAUUGUUGUGAAUAAAUCCAGCUGGAAAAUGUCUGCAGUUGAGGAAGUGUGUGCUGAUGACUGGAAUACUGCACUGUCCCAUGAGUUUGUUCCCUUUGCUGUGUGCUCCAUCCCUUGUUAACUAGUAUGUGAGAGAUUAUGGCACCAAGCAGAAAUAAUGUGGGCCUGAGUUGAAUUAAUUCUCUUCCCUACAUUCCCUUGAACAAAUGAAGAUUUCAAAAGCAACAUGAAAGUAUAUUUUCAGAAGUCCAAAAUCCCCCAUGUUAUAGAUAGUAAAAUAAGUAGUGACGAAGAUAUAAAAGGGGAUAUGUUUCUGGGUAAAGACAAGCACAUUUAUUAAAGAGAAAGUGUUAGGGAUCUGCAGGCAGGGAAGUGCCUUGAUUUACCUUACCUACAGCAGUUACAGCUUGAUUAUUUUCCAAGGUGGUUUUGUUGUUUUGUUUGAUUUUGUUUUAAACUUAGACAUGCUGAUUGAUGAUAUCUCUGUGGCAUCUCAAUGGUGUCUGCAUAUUUAUUGUGAGCAAGGCCAAUUCAGGUUUCCCCACUCAGCUGAAACUGGAGGAUCCCUAUCCUUUGUUUAGGGAUAAGGGUUGCCUCUGUGUUAUCUUCAGGUGUGUUCCUGCCAUGAUGAAGUACUGUUUGUGGAGACUUUUAGAAGUGUUAAAUAAACUCAGAGAGAUUCCAGUUUGUCUUCA
rnacentral:lncRNA from 1 species